GCAGAUAUAGUAUAGCGGUCAUUAUUUCAGUUUCCCAAACUGAGGAUGCGGGUUCGACUCCCGUUAUCUGCUCCA
rnacentral:tRNA from 1 species